UUUCUCUAAACAUGUUUUCUAGUCUUAUUCUCUGAGUUUGCUAUCUUGCAUGCGGCCUUGAUUGUUGCAAAUAGUGCGCGUUGUAUUGCGGCGCGCGCACAGUGUUAUCGCGUGUUGGCGCGUCCGCCGCUGCUUGCGCGCUGUGCUUAGCGCAGUUUUGUGCCGGUUGUUCCACGGGCUGAGCGUGUUUUUCGCGGCUGUUAUCUUUUUAAUUUCGAGUUUGUAAUUUGGUAAAUCGUGUUCAGUUCGAUCGUCCAUCUACUACAUUUAAUAUUACUACUUAUUAUUAUUUAUUAUUACAAACUAUUAUUAUUGAUACGUGUCUAGUUAAGUCGACUUUGCUUACGCUUGUUAUUGUUGUGAUCAUGUUUAUCAAUUUGCGUGCGGUUGCAACACUCUUAAACCGGUGCAUUUAAAUGCGAUUUAAUUUUAAUUCUUGGUGAAUUCGGCGCCAAAUAUUUGCCCGAGGAUCAUCUUUUAUUGGAGGACAUUACACAUUAUUGAUUUGGCUACCAGCAGUGGCGUCCUUCUUGUCAUUGUUCCAGCGAUCUGCAUGCACCGCGGGAAUGAAAGUUAAGAUCGCAAUAGCAUGGACUAUAAAGCAUUGUGUUUGUUGGAACACAAUAUACACUUUCUUAUCGCAUUGCCGUGUGUCGUCGAUGUCAGCACCUCACGCCGCAUGUUGCUGCAUCUUAGUUUAGUUUUGAUCCCAGGUAAACUGCCAAAUGCAAUUCGCGAAAUUAAAUUCUCCGUUAGGUGGUAAUUGUUUGUUGCAGGAAUUCCACCUGCGCGUUUGUUGCGAAUGCACUUAAACGCACCUACCGGUAUAAUCCAUCAUGUACGCAUGAGCUACGCACUUUGCUUUGUUUACGCCGUCAACAUUGUCAUCUGUCCUUGGCUCCGGCAGUGUUAGUUGUGCAGUUAGGGCGUCUCCGUAGUAUUACAUCGCGUGUUUUUGAAGUGCAAUAUUCAAUUGGCAAUCGACUGCAGUUAAUGACAAUUGAGUUAUUAUUAAUUGUGUUUGUAAUUUUCGUAAAUGCGCACAUUUUGUGUCUUCUUGUGAGUUUCAUCAGUCGGAUAUUACUUUUGUGGGUACAGAAUUUGAAGACUAUUGUGAUGAGAAAAUUUACGUAAUAAGUAAUAUAUUAAUACCAGAUUAGAUCUUAUUUUUGUUAUCUUUAUAUUUAGGUGCUAUUAAAUUUUAGUUAAUUUAGCGAAUUAAAUAUGAAUUAAAGUCACAACCGCAUCUGAUUUGUGUUUGUUUGUUUUUAGAUGUCAAGGAGUUGAACGUAUACAAUCGUGCCCGCAUUCAAUUGUGAGUAUUGAAAUUCUUAUCAUUUCCAUAUCUGCUCCGUUACCGUAGCCUGCUAUAUCCCUUCCUUGUUUAGUCGAUCGUGCCAUGUUGUUCGGUUCACACGUGUUUAGUUCACAAGUCGAUCUUCGUAACUAGUUUGCGCGUUUCUUGUGAUUUUAAGUCGGUAGUUGAAUUAGAAUCGAACAGCAAAGAUAACAUUUAGAAUUAACAGACUAGUGCGGCGUGCAGUUAAUGAUUAAUCGCGCGUGAAAGCCAGAAUUUUGUAGUUGUACAAUGAUCGCACGUUUUUGCCGUCGGCCGAUGGAUAUCUUACGUCGGUUAAGAAGUCCGUCCCAGUGGUUUUAUUUGCGUAAUGAUAUUAAAUUAUUAAACUGGACACUGUUCUCCGUGACAGGAAUAAAAUUUAGCAUUUUGAGAUGUAUACGAUGCGGAAUUAAUAAGUUAUCGAGCGUGGAAGUAUGUCUCUCGUCGACACGAAGAAUUCUUUCUGGAUUUAUAUAUUUUUGUGCAUUUAUUAAAUAAUUCAUUUCGUACCAGUUUGUGAAGAUUAAACAUUCAAGUAAGUGUAACUUGUAACUUAAGUCACUUUCGUGAGUCACGUUGAACACAUGUACUUAAAUUUCAUGUAACAGAAUUAAAUUUGUGUAUGUACUAUCUUGAUUAUAUGAGUUUGAAUAAAAUAUAAUUUAAUAGUAUAA